rnacentral:rRNA from 1 species
AGAGUUUGAUCCUGGCUCAGGACGAACGCUGGCGGCGCGCCUAACACAUGCAAGUCGAACGAACCAGAUAGAUCUUGCUUUCUCGAUCAAGUGGAUAACGGGUGAGUAACGCAUGAGGAACCUGCCUCAAGAGAGGGGGACAACAGUUGGAAACGACUGCUAAUACCACUUAAGCCCACUGGCGUCGGCAUCAACCAGAGGGAUAAGGAGCAAUCUGCUAUGAGAUGGCCUCGCGUCUGAUUAGCUAGUUGGUGAGGUAACGGCUCACCAAGGCAACGAUCGGUAGCCGGCCUGAGAGGUUGACCGGCCACAUUGGGACUGAGACACGGCCCAGACUCCUACGGGAGGCAGCAGUGGGGAAUAUUGCACAAUGGGGGAAACCCUGAUGCAGCGACGCCGCGUGAAGGAAGAAGGUCUUCGGAUUGUAAACUCCUGUUGUCGAGGAAGAUAAUGACGGUACUCAACAAGGAAGCGCCGGCUAAAUACGUGCCAGCAGCCGCGGUAAAACGUAGGUCACAAGCGUUGUCCGGAAUUACUGGGUGUAAAGGGAGCGCAGGCGGGAAGACAAGUUGGAAGUGAAAUCCAUGGGCUCAACCCAUGAACUGCUUUCAAAACUGUUUUUCUUGAGUAGUGCAGAGGUAGGCGGAAUUCCUGGUGUAGCGGUGGAAUGCGUAGAUAUUGGGAGGAACACCAGUGGCGAAGGCGGCUUACUGGGCACCAACUGACGUUGAGGCUCGAAAGUGUGGGUAGCAAACAGGAUUAGAUACCCUGGUAGUCCACACCGUAAACG